GUCCUGCCUGGCCAGCUGUCCCGGACGGUCAGAGUUCCCCCGCAGCCCCUCCGCGCAUCUCAAGAGGCUCCCCGCGCCGCUUGGAGUGCUGAGGGAUAGGAAGCAAGCGACGGUGAGUUGCGUGAAUCGAAGCACUUUGUUGAGCAUUGUGACUUUGAGGAAACAAUCAUCGAGGUGUUUGAAUUCCCAGGGACCAGAGAGUUGCCCUUGAGUUCUUCAUUGAGAGAAGUACGUCGUUCAUCGUGGAGGCAAAGAGUUUGUCGCCAUCGAAGGGAAGAUCUUCAAUGGUACUCUGGGCCUCUCGAGGAAAGGAGGAGGAGGAGAGCCAUGAACCUUGGCACAUGACAACUGCUGUAGCAGUAAAUUUUGCUGCAGUAUUGGCUGCAUCGAGGGAUGCUUGAAGAGUGGUAUGUGAGAUGAUUUGUCCCUCGGAAACUAGAGCCGUAAAUUGUUGUUUCUUUUCUUCCAGAAUUUCAUCAAUAAAGUCCAUGAAUUUGUUGUAAUUUUUGUGGUCCUAUUUUGCCAGAACAGCAGUAUAAUUAGCAAUGCAAAAUUGUAACGUAGAAGAUGCGUAUACUUUGCGUCCGAGCAGAUCUAAUCGCUUACUGUCCUUAUCAGAUGGGGUGGAUGGGGAAACUGGUGCUUGGUCUUUUGGUUGACUGCAUCUACUACCAACGAGUUUGGCGCUGGAUGUGUAAAAAGGAAUUCGCAGCCCUUGGAAGGGAUGAAGUACUUGCGGUCUGGUCGCUUACAAGUUGGUAGGCUUGCAGCGGGAGUCUGCCAGAUGGCCUUAACAGGUUCCAAAAGGACUGCGCUGAUCGGUAAUUCAAUCCUAGAGGAAGAAGAGGGUUGCAGGAUGUCCGUUAACUCAUGCUGCUGUUCAGGAACCUCCUCCAAGCUAAUUCUUAAUUCACUUGCAACUCUUUUUUUAAAAGAUCUUGACAUUUUGAGAAGUCGUCUGAAGAUGACUGGGGAGGAAGCAGUAGAGCUUCAUCAGGGAUAACAAGUGGGUCUACUGGGUUGGAGGCAGGUCGUGACUGAUCCUGCAGUUGUGAUGGUGCUGCCUGGACCCUUACGUCAGUGGCAGGUUCGUCAGCGGCGGUGGCGGGCAGGUGUCAUGCCUGGCUGUGGCGAUAUAGCGAGUGUUGUCUCGAGGAUAAGAUGCCCAUGGAGCCCAAUAUUGCCUCUGUCGUGGGAAGGGCAUGGGUGGUGCCAUCCAAGGGUUCAUGCACCACGGGGCAGGUUCCUGAGAGUAUGAUGAGGUGAUUUUUCUAUGAACUCUAUUGAUUGGAAUCUGAGGGUGGGAGAUUUGAUAUG